UACGUAGGGUGCAAGCGUUGUCCGGAAUUAUUGGGCGUAAAGAGCUCGUAGGCGGUUUGUCGCGUCUGCUGUGAAAACCCGAGGCUCAACCUCGGGCCUGCAGUGGGUACGGGCAGACUAGAGUGCGGUAGGGGGAGAAUGGAAUUCCUGGUGUAGCGGUGGAAUGCGCAGAUAUCAGGAGGAACACCGAUGGCGAAGGCAGUUCUCUGGGCCGUAACUGACGCUGAGGAGCGAAAGCGUGGGGAGCGAACAGG
rnacentral:rRNA from 1 species